UUAUUAUGAUGAGAUUACGCUCUGUGGUCCAUGUUUCUGAAACACACGAUUUUGUGAAAGUUCUCAUUUG
ensembl:snoRNA SNORD18 Small nucleolar RNA SNORD18